AAGGAUCAUUAUUGAAUAAACCUGAUGUGGUUGUUGCUGGUUCUCUAGGGAGCAUGUGCACGCCCGUCAUCUUUAUAUUUCCACCUGUGCACCUUUUGUAGACCCAGAAGACUUGAGCAAUCGAGUCGUUUGGGCCUAUGUUUUAUCAUAUACCCCAUAGUAUGUAUCAGAAUGUAUCAGUGGGCUUUUGUGCCUAUAAACACUAUACAACUUUCAGCAACGGAUCUCUUGGCUCUC
rnacentral:misc_RNA from 1 species